AACUACCCAUUUGAUGGUCGGCACGGAAACUAAGAAAGCUGAAAAGGGUGGUGUAAAAGUGGUGUAAAAGACUAAAAGGGUAGUGUUAAUAUAUUUUGAUUACUUUUACUAAUCUUUCAUUAGCUAUUUGACAUUAUUUUAAUGCCUUGACUUAUUAAAGUGUUCUUUUUUUUAUAAGCUAUUUCUUUCUUUCUUUUUUUACUCGUUAAUUAAAUAAACUGAAAA
rnacentral:lncRNA from 1 species